rnacentral:lncRNA from 1 species
UUUAUAGGCUGAUGUGAGGAUUGAUUUCAUGGUGUUUGAAGUAAGAACUGGGGAUCUGAUACUGCUAACAUAUGGUAGGUAUACCCAAAUUUUUAUCCCCCACAUAACGCAUAAUCUUGGGACAAGUUCUAUAAUGGUGGACAAUCAACUUUUUUUUAAAAGAGUUGUGCCCUAUGGAAAUAUUAAAUAAGUGCAACAAGUGGGACAUUGGAACUAUAUUCUUUUAUUUUAAUCUAAAAGUGUUUUAUGUCAAUUUAAUAACGGUUCAGGUAUCAUGAAGAUAUCAUGGAGAUAUUCAGCUCCAGAGGAAAGGGUUACAUAAUUGUCCAAGAUAGUAAAGAUACUGUCAAGCUUUGAAACAGAAAUUAUUUUUGACUUUUUUUCUACUUAUCAAGAUUCAAACUAAAUAUCCACUGAAUUUCUUUAGUAAUUAUGAACCACAAACUUAAAUGUUUAAAGUAUCAAUUUUCUAUCAACCAACUUUCUAUCAAAUAUCCACAAAAAUCAAAGUUUUCCUCAAUCACAAUGAAAAUCAUUUAAUCCACUGUAGAUUUUUUGAAGAGUUUAAAUAACUGAUUCAAUUUUGUAUUACAGGUUAGCAUCACAGUUUGUCCUUUUGGAUACUGUCUGGAGUGGAAUUUGGAUCUUUUUGAGGUGAGAAUAUAUUUAUUUGUCCACAUACAAGAGGGUGGUAAUGGGGUACCUUUAUAACCAAUAAUGGUAAAACUUCUUACUGAAUGACAUUUACUGUAAACUUUGGAGCAUGCAAUAAAAUGUAAAGUUUAAGAUGAUAAAAAAAUCAAACAUUAAUUUUGACGAAUCAAGUUUACUAGUUUUUAUGCAAAAAAUAACGGUAACAAUCAUUAUUUGAUGCUAACAGUAGCCAAUGAUGACUGCUUGACGCCUGAUCUUAAAGGACAUUACUACCCUCAUACAAAUUUUAUUAAUUGAUGUUAUCUUAUGGACAGUUUAAAUUUCUAUAAAUCUUUAUUAUUUGCAAUCAUAUUUCAUCUUUAUAUUUUCUACUGCAGCCUUUAUAGAUGUAAAUCAGAUGUUUUAAUGUUCAGAAGGUUUCUAGUUCUUUUUAACUUCUUUCUCUUAAACCAUUUUCAAACUAUUACCUAAUAACCAUGAACUGAAUCAGUAAGAGAACCAUUGUUUUUAUAAUAUUAAAGAAUUGUGAAUACUUGAAAAGGGGAGAUAACCUCACAUUUAUUUGCAAUGAAAUGGCAAGUGCUGUCACAUAGAUAAGAUGUCUUAAUCAUAUCAAACUUUGUUUCUUAUUCAGUUCUCAGAUUCAGUUUUGUAUUUCUUUCAAUACAAAUUUCUAAAUAAUUCAUUUCUUCAUUCAAUAUAUGGAGAAAAACAAAGUAAAUGUCAUAAAACUAAAACCAAACGAUGAAAGAUUAUCAAAAUAUCCUAAAUAAUAAUUUUAUCAUGUAUGUAAAUUUUUUCAAAUUUUCAGCUUAAUUAUAGCUUCUGCUCUUGUUUGGCACUCAAUACAUGAUUAAAUCGAUAUUAGUAAUAGUGAUUUGAACACCUUUCCAUUUUAUAACAAAUUAAGCUGCACAAUCUCUAUUGCAAUAUUUUUUGGUAAAUCAUUAAAUAUGAAUAGAAAACAAGUAUUUUUAUAUACAACAAAAUCUAUCUAUUUAAAAGAAAAAUUACCACUCAAAUAUUUAAACAUUACCUAAUUCAUAUAUUUAAACAUUACCUAAUUCAUAUAUUUUAACAUUACUUAAAAAAAUUACUAUGGAUUGUCAAGAAAUGAAAUAUCAUUUUAUUUCUUUUACAGGUUCCCUUGUGUGGUCAAUCCAAUGGACAAUAACAAUCAUGCAGACCAGAUAUAUAUUGCUUUUUUGUUUAAUAAAAUCUUUAAA